CACAGGGCAGGUGUCUGGUGCGAUCUUUCCACGGCUGCACUCACCUCCUUCCCUGGCAAAAUGCCUGGCCCAGGGCACGGACUCAGUCGUUACUGGAUUUCGAUCAGAGCAGAGUUGAUCACUAUGUGUUUGGAGGUCUUUCUCACCAAACCUUGCCGGCAUAUAGAGAAGUUAAACAUUCUGAUCCUGCUGCAUCCCCACUGUGCAGGCGGACUGCUGAGGCAAUUGCGAUCCUGAUUUAAUUGCCAUUGAUUCGUUUUGCCUGGUUUUGAAGUUCCUAUGAGUGAAACCAGUCGGGUAUAUACAACUGACCCUUGGAUAACACCAGUUUGAACGGAGCAAGUCCAUUUAUGCUUGGACUUUCUUCUGCCUCUGCCACCCUCGAGACAGCAAGACCAACCCCUCCUCCUCAGCCUGCUCAACCCGAAGACGAUGAGGAUGACCUUUAUGACAAUCUAAUUCCACUGAAUGAACACUGAAAA